rnacentral:rRNA from 1 species
GACGAACGCUGGCGGCGUGCUUAACACAUGCAAGUCGAACGGAAAGGCCCUGAUUUUGUGGGGUGCUCGAGUGGCGAACGGGUGAGUAACACGUGAGUAACCUGCCCUUGACUUUGGGAUAACUUCAGGAAACUGGGGCUAAUACCGGAUAGGAGCUCCUGCUGCAUGGUGGGGGUUGGAAAGUUUCGGCGGUUGGGGAUGGACUCGCGGCUUAUCAGCUUGUUGGUGGGGUAGUGGCUUACCAAGGCUUUGACGGGUAGCCGGCCUGAGAGGGUGACCGGCCACCUUGGGACUGAGAUAGGGACCAGUAUCCUACGGGACGCAGCAGUGGGGAAUCUUGCACAAUGGGCGGAAGCCUGAUGCAGCAACGCCGCGUGCGGGAUACCCGCUUACGGGUGGUAAACCGCUUUCGACGGUGACGAAGCGUAAGUGACGGUAAUGGGUAAAGAAGCACCGGCUAACUACGUG